rnacentral:rRNA from 1 species
CAAGACCUGCGCUUUUGGAGCGGCCGAUGCCUGAUUAGCUUGUUGGUAAGGUAAAAGCUUACCAAGGCUUCGAUCAGUAGCUGGUCUGAGAGGACGACCAGCCACACUGGGACUGAGACACGGCCCAGACUCCUACGGGAGGCAGCAGUGGGGAAUUUUGGACAAUGGGGGCAACCCUGAUCCAGCCAUGCCGCGUGAGUGAAGAAGGCCUUCGGGUUGUAAAGUUCUUUCAGCCGGAACGAAACGGUUACGGUUAAUACCCGUGACUACUGACGGUACCGGAAGAAGAAGCACCGGCUAACUACGUGCCAGCAGCCGCGGUAAUACGUAGGGUGCGAGCGUUAAUCGGAAUUACUGGGCGUAAAGCGUGCGCAGGUGGUUUUGUAAGUCAGAUGUGAAAGCCCCGGGCUCAAACCUGGGAACU